UGCCAACAAUGAAUGAGAGGCCCUGUUGCUCCACACCCCCGUUAGCAUUCGUUGCUAUUAGGGUUUGGAUUUUUGCCAGUCUAAAAGAGACAAGAUUGAACCCCUCAGCUUGAGAUCAGAUGAGAGGCUAGUAUGAGAACAGAGCCCAGCCUCAAGAGAGAGAGACAGAGCGUGAGCAGGGAAGGGACAGAAAGAGA